UACGUAGGGGGCAAGCGUUGUCCGGAUUUAUUGGGCGUAAAGAGCGUGUAGGCGGCCAGGUAGGUCCGCUGUGAAAGUCGGGGGCUCAACCCUCGAAUGCCGGUGGAUACUGUCGGGCUAGAGUGCGGAAGAGGCGAGUGGAAUUCCUGGUGUAGCGGUGAAAUGCGCAGAUAUCAGGAGGAACACCGAUAGCGAAGGCAGCUCGCUGGGACGGUACUGACGCUAAGGCGCGAAAGCGUGGGGAGCGAACAGG
rnacentral:rRNA from 1 species